rnacentral:rRNA from 1 species
GACGAACGCUGGCGGCGUGCUUAACACAUGCAAGUCGAACGGAAAGGCCCUGCUUUUGUGGGGUGCUCGAUUGGCGAACGGGUGAGGAACACGUGAGUAACCUGCCCUUGACUUUGGGAUAACUUCAGGAAACGGGGGCUAAUACCGGAUAGGAGCUCCUGUUGCAUGGUGGGGGGUGGAAAUUUUAGGCGGGUGGGGAUGGACUCGCGGCUUAUCGGCUUGUUGGUGGGGUAGGGGCUUACCAAGGCUUUGACGGGUAGCCGGCCGGGGAGGGUGACCGGCCACAUUGGGACUGCGAUAGGGACCAGACUGCUACGGGAGGCAACAGUGGGGAAUAUUGCACAAUGGGCGGACGCCUGAUGCAGCAACGCCGCGUGCGGGAUGACGGCCUUCGGGUUGUAAACCGCUUUCGCCUGUGACGAAGCGUGAGUGACGGUAAUGGGUAAAGAAGCACCGGCUAACUACGUG